AUUGAACGCUGGCGGCAGGCCUAACACAUGCAAGUCGGACGGUAGCACAGAGAGCUUGCUCUCGGGUGACGAGUGGCGGACGGGUGAGUAAUGUCUGGGAAACUGCCCGAUGGAGGGGGUUAACUACUGGAAACGGUAGCUAAUACUGCAUAACGUCUUCGGACCAAAGUGGGGGACCUUCGGGCCUCACACCAUCGGAUGUGCCCAGAUUGGAUUAGCUAGUAGGUGGGGUAAUGGCUCACCUAUGCGACGAUACCUAGCUGGUCUGAGAGGCUGACCAGCGACAAUGGAACAGAGACACGGUCCAGACUCCGACGGGAGGCAGCAGUGGGGAAUAUUGCACGAUGGGCGCAAGCCUGAUGCAGCCAUGCCGGGUGUAUGAAGAAGGCCUGCGGGUUGUAGAGUACUUUCAGCGGGGAGGAAGGCGAUGGAGUUAAUAGCUUCAUCGAUUGACGUUACCCGCAGAAGAAGCACCGGCUAACUCCGUGCCAGCCGCCGCAGUAA
rnacentral:rRNA from 1 species